GCUGAGCGAAUCCACGCUGCUCAGACUCCCAACUCUCAACUCCCCACAAGGCUUAGGAGCAGACCCGAACGCUGACUCGCUGACCCGAGCCCUGCCGCCAGGACGAGACCCAGAGCUGCCGGGACCCGAAGCCCGCGUCUGGUGCGUCGAAUGCCAGCUGACUCGCCACCUGAACGAUCUGAGGAGCCAACCCGGAAGUAAACCGGAAGUGACGCCAGAGACGUGGGAGCCGGAGCCUGCGAAGCGGAGACAGGCCCCAUCAUCGGGCACCAAACUGUUGCAGCUGCCUGCAACUGCAUGCGAUCAGGUCUUCUGGAAGAGGAGAAGGAGCCUAAAAGAAUAAAAGAAACUGGACUGCC